rnacentral:rRNA from 1 species
UACGUAGGGGGCUAGCGUUGUCCGGAUUUAUUGGGCGUAAAGAGCUCGUAGGCGGCUUGUCGCGUCGUCCGUGAAAACCCACAGCUCAACUGUGGGCUUGCGGUCGAUACGGGCAGGCUAGAGUUCGGUAGGGGAGACUGGAAUUCCUGGUGUAGCGGUGAAAUGCGCAGAUAUCAGGAGGAACACCGGUGGCGAAGGCAGCUCUCUGGGACGGUACUGACGCUGAGACGCGAAAGCGUGGGGAGCGAACAGG